rnacentral:rRNA from 1 species
AGAGUUUGAUCAUGGCUCAGGAUAAACGCUGGCGGCGUGCUUUAUGCAUGCAAGUCGUACGGUAUUGAUAGAUCAGGCUUGCCUGGGAUAUCAAGAGAGUGGCAGACGGGUGAGUAACGCGUAAGUAAUCUGCCCCUAAGUAAGGGAUAACCCCGAGAAAUCGGAGCUAAUACCUUAUGUGGUGGUGGGGAUAAUGCUUCAUCACUAAAGCCGCAAGGCGCUUGGGGAGGAGCUUGUGUCCGAUUAGCUAGUUGGUAUGGUAAUGGCUUACCAAGGCGAUGAUCGGUAGCUGGUCUGAGAGGAUGAUCAGCCACACUGGGACUGAGACACGGCCCAGACUCCUACGGGAGGCAGCAGCAAGGAAUAUUGGGCAAUGGGCGAAAGCCUGACCCAGCGACGCCGCGUGGGGGAUGACGGCCUUCGGGUUGUAAACCCCUUUUCUCGGGGAAGAAUAAUGACGGUACCUGAGGAAUAAGUCUCGGCUAACUACGUGCCAGCAGCCGCGGUAAUACGUAGGAGGCGAGCGUUAUCCGGAUUUACUGGGCGUAAAGGGGGCGCAGGCGGCUUUUCAAGUCGGAUGUGAAAUCUCCCUGCUUAACGGGGAGGCGUCAUUCGAUACUGUUGAGCUUGAGGGCAGCAGAGGGAGGUGGAAUUCCCGGUGUAGUGGUGAAAUGCGUAGAUAUCGGGAGGAACACCAGUGGCGAAGGCGGCCUUCUGGGCUGUUCCUGACGCUGAGGCCCGAAAGCGCGGGGAGCGAACAGGAUUAGAUACCCUGGUAGUCCGCGCAGUAAACGAUGGACACUAGGUAUAGUGAGUAUCGACCCUCUCUGUGCCGAAGUUAACGCGUUAAGUGUCCCGCCUGGGGAGUACGGCCGCAAGGCUAAAACUCAAAUGAAUUGACGG